rnacentral:rRNA from 1 species
AGUGAACGCUGGCGGUAGGCCUAACACAUGCAAGUCGAACGGCAGCACAGUAAGAGCUUGCUCUUACGGGUGGCGAGUGGCGGACGGGUGAGGAAUACAUCGGAAUCUACCUUUUCGUGGGGGAUAACGUAGGGAAACUUACGCUAAUACCGCAUACGACCUACGGGUGAAAGCAGGGGAUCUUCGGACCUUGCGCGAUUGAAUGAGCCGAUGUCGGAUUAGCUAGUUGGCGGGGUAAAGGCCCACCAAGGCGACGAUCCGUAGCUGGUCUGAGAGGAUGAUCAGCCACACUGGAACUGAGACACGGUCCAGACUCCUACGGGAGGCAGCAGUGGGAAUAUUGGACAAUGGGCGCAAGCCUGAUCCAGCCAUACCGCGUGGGUGAAGAAGGCCUUCGGGUUGUAAAGCCCUUUUGUUGGGAAAGAAAAGCAGCAGGUUAAUACCCCGCUGUUCUGACGGUACCCAAAGAAUAAGCACCGGCUAACUUCGU